rnacentral:rRNA from 1 species
AAAUUGAAGAGUUUGAUCAUGGCUCAGAUUGAACGCUGGCGGCAGGCCUAACACAUGCAAGUCGAACGGUAACAGGAAGAAGCUUGCUUCUUUGCUGACGAGUGGCGGACGGGUGAGUAAUAUCUGGGAAACUGCCUGAUGGAGGGGGAUAACUACUGGAAACGGUAGCUAAUACCGCAUAACGUCGCAAGACCA